ACACACACACACACACACGCACACAGUCCUUAUUUGUCAUAUCAACUAGAGCAAACUUAUGAUUGGUUAGAGGGAGUUAAGUCCCACCCUCUCUUCACGCAGAAGUCAGUGAGUUGCAGUGCGGGUAAAACAGCAGCGGUCGGAGCGGAUGAGAAAUAGAGAGUUAGAAUAGCGAUUAUUAACAUAUCCAUGAGAUAAAAUACUCUUCUGAAUGCGUCAGAGGUGUGCGAGGGUCCGUGAGCCAGGAGUAGUAGUACUUUUGGCAUUAUCGUCUUGGCUGGGUUUUUUGAGAACUAGAGAACUGGAUGUGGAUUCUCCCUUGGAUGGGAGAUGGCUAGCCCCCAGUGAGAUCUCUUCUUAACCUAAGGAGUGAGGAACCGAGACCUGAGAAGAGGACCUCAUAUCUUUUUGCUUUCACUCAAGUAUCAGUGUGGUAGGACCACCACACAUCCGACUACUUGAAUUUUCCCCCCUGACUUGACAUAAAACAUUGACUUGAGCGCGCUGACUGAUAUCGCAAAGACAUUAAAGGGACAUUACACUCAUGGACACUUUCAAUUCAAGUUCUGCUGAAAGACUGUGAAAUCUUGAGAUACUGAUGAUAAUUGCACUGCAUUUUAUGUUCAUGUUUUAUAACUUGGUACAGUAAACUUACCUCAACGUUCCUCGUGGCUCCAUUUAUCUGUUUUGUCUGUCAUUCCCUUUUCAGCCCUCCCAUUACGAACCUAGCCCCUGGUCCAUAUAUUCUUUAUUCUUUACCCUGUAGCACCUAGUGGGUUACACAUACGCUCACGAUUUUUUUUAGGGUUAGGAUGGUAUUCUUGGAAUUUGGGCUCAGUCUUUGGAAAUCUGAAUAUGAUUAGGGUUAAGUUCAGGUGCAUCUUACUCCCUAAACUUCAGUUCAAUUUGGAAGUGAUCAAGUAUUCCUCCAUGGAAAAAUACAAUCGCCCCAGAAGGAGUCUUUGGGCAUAUUCCAAAGACUGAAUCCAAAUCCAGGAAUACGAUCCUAACCCGGGUUUUUCUUUUUACGAAGAUGGAAGGCGUCCUCAUUCACAGCUUCAGAGGUGGGCCUCAACACACAAGUCGAGCACUGCUUUCCCAAGGCCCAGUUCUUGCACGCUGACUCUGACCUCCAGAGCGGGAAACUCUCUGGCGGUACUUCAGCGACUCAACUCGGUCACCUCUGAAGCUGUGAAUGAGGACGCCUUCCAUCUAAGGGAGCCUAGUCGACCUCAGCUCGAUGAAUUGAUUGAUUUGAAGGUCUAUUUAUAAACUUCCCUGUGUGGACUCAUGACAUCACAUGUGAUGUCAUAGAAGGAGUUACCACUUUAGUACCAUGACAUCAUCAGUGAGCUGAAACAGGCUGAUUCACAUCCUGUCAUUACGUCACAGAUGAUGUCACGAGUUCAGUCAGAUCUUGAGGACAUUUGAGCUGAUAUCAGAAAGGAUCUCUAUUAAUUAAUCAAUGGGUAAAAUGUUGUUGAAAAGUGGAGGUUGACUGGACGUCUACACGACAUAUAAUCAUUUGAAAUAUGAUGUUAGAAAGGCUGAAAGUGUAAUUGGAGUGUGGAAACAGGUAGUUCAGCAUUUAUUGAUCUAUACAAGUUGUGAUAUUAGUUGGAUACAAACUGUGUCACCUGAUUGGCAGAUGUGCUGCAGCCACCUGUUGGCUGGUUUAAUUAAUGCACCUACAUUAGUGGGUAGGCUGAGCAGUUGGAGUGCGGCAGGCUUUAGAGAGGAAAUACAUGAGGUGUGUGUUUCUGACAUAAUGUAAGUAGUUUCUGGUUUGUUCUUCUUUGGAGUGUUUAAUUAGUAUCUGUGAAGGGAAUAUUGUCCAUAUUACCUAACCUACACUUGAAAUGACUGCGCUGUGUAAAUAUGUGAAUUAUCCUGCCACUUGCCUGACAUAAUUACCUCCUUUUUCAUGUCUUUGUUAAUGUGCAUCGCUAUUUAAAGCAUAUGUAAGCCAGUAGAGAAUUGGGUCCAAUUAUAUCUUUAUUUUUCUAUAGUUUCUUCUUUUUCUAUAGACCGAGUUGAGUCGCUGAAGUAUCACCAGAGAGUUUCCCGCUCUGGAGAUCAGAGUCAGCGUGCAAUAACUGGGCCUUGGGAAAGCAGUGCUCGACUCAUGUGUGGAGCCCCACCUCUGGAGCUGUGAUUGAGGACGCCUUCCAUCUUCGUAAAAUAAAAAAACAAAAACAAAAUGAAAACAAAUGGCCCACACCCUGCAGCAAUGGGCAGGGCUGCAUCACAGUGAGUGAUGAAGACCACAGCAGCAACACGGGAUGCCUGACGAAAGUGAAGCUUGAUGGAGGACUAAAGCAGAAGCUGCAGGACAUCUACCAACCAUUCCUUAUAUUCAUAUCAUCCUCUCAGUCUGCCCAGCCAGGAGAGACAGCGUGAUUGUGCCCUGUGUUGGUGUGUUGAUGGGAGCAUCAGCUUGUUCAGUUGUUUCAAACAGAGGCAUCCUGGGGUUGGGCUGUGGUUGCUGGAUAUCGGUGUAAUCCUUCACAUGUUCCUUUUGUAAAACAAAGUUUUAUUCUAUACAAUUUUAUGAGUACAGUUUUGCUGUUUGAGUUAUCAAGUUUCCACAUCAACCAAAAAUGCAAUAAUAAUCCAUGAUGACAAGUCUACUGGCCUUGUAUUACAUUGGCUUUAAUGUUGUUACUGUACAUUACAUUCAAACAAUUAGAUGUGUAAUAUGUGACUUUUCACUUUAAUACUGAAGGAAAAAAAGAGAGGAAUCACAUAAUGUAUUUUAAACAUGUAACUAUUAGAUGUCAUGACAGAUGGAAUAAUGUCACACUGGCUGUUUAUUAACACCUUUACACAACAUUUCUGUCUUUACAUUUUAAACUGAAACAGGCAGCAGGUUAGCGGAUAAACUAGCAGCAGACUAACAGCUCCAGUCGGUAAAACAAACAAAUGUGAGAAAAAUGAGUGUUUACAUACCAAGCAGAAACCACUGGCAGCUGCUUUGUUAAUUCAGUCGUUAAGUCACUUUCCUCUUCACUUUUCUUUCGGUUAAACUCAACUCUAAUGUGAUUUGUCCAAGUGGCGUUGCUGUACGUCACUGUCCAAAAUGGUGGAACCGCUCGCGCAUGCACAACACAAAUCGGGCAGUGAUAAAACUUACCAAACAAAAAGCGAAGAAGACCCCUCAGUGUCUGUAAGAACAGUCAAGAGCAGCUCGACACUGGUUUAAAAAUGGUGUCAGUGAAUCACAAAUGAAUACGUAUAUUAGUGUCCUUCAGAAACUGCUGCAGUCACUCGGCUGUCUGCCGCCUCAGAUGGAGGUAUGCAGCACAAACGUAGAAAUAAAUGAAUAAAUGUAAAAAUUCAUAAAUAAAUAAAUGUCGCAAUGCAUAAAUGAGUAAAUACAUACAUAA